rnacentral:rRNA from 1 species
GUCCUUUUGAAUUUUAUAGAAGGUCUGACCUGCCCAGUGAUAAUUUUAACGGCCGCGGUAUACUGACCGUGCAAAGGUAGCAUAAUCAUUAGUCUUUUAAUAGAGGGCUGGAAUGAAAGGUUUAACGAGGAAUUGACUGUCUCAUUUUAUUUGUUUUAGAAUUUAAUUUUUUAGUCAAAAAGCUAAAAUCUUAUUGGAAGACGAGAAGACCCUAUAGAUCUUUAUAGAACUUUAUUUAAUUAUCUUUAUAUUAUUUUAUUUAAAUGAUUUUUUAUUUUGUUGGGGUGACAAAAAUAUAUGUAAAACUUUUUUAUUUAUUUAACAUUAAUUUAUGAUUAUUAGAUCCAUUAUUAGUGAUUGAUAGACUAAGUUACCUUAGGGAUAACAGCGUAAUCCUCCUCCAGAGUUCAUAUUUACAGGAUGGGCUUGCGACCUCGAUGUUGGAUUAAGAUGAUAAUUAGGUGUAGCCGCUUAAUUUAUAGGUCUGUUCGACCUUUAAAUUCUU